rnacentral:rRNA from 1 species
AUUGAACGCUGGCGGCAUGCCUUACACAUGCAAGUCGAACGGCAGCGGGGGAGAAGCUUGCUUUUCCUGCCGGCGAGUGGCGAACGGGUGAGUAAUACAUCGGAACGUGCCCUGUAGUGGGGGAUAACUAGUCGAAAGAUUAGCUAAUACCGCAUACGACCUGAGGGUGAAAGUGGGGGACCGCAAGGCCUCAUGCUAUAGGAGCGGCCGAUGUCUGAUUAGCUAGUUGGUGGGGUAAAGGCCUACCAAGGCGACGAUCAGUAGCUGGUCUGAGAGGACGAUCAGCCACACUGGGACUGAGAACCGGCCCAGACUCCUACGGGAGGCAGCAGUGGGGAAUUUUGGACAAUGGGCGAAAGCCGGAUCCAGCAAUGCCGCGUGUGUGAAGAAGGCCUUCGGGUUGUAAAGCACUUUUGUCCGGAAAGAAAUGGCUCUGGUUAAUACCUGGGGUCGAUGACGGUACCGGAAGAAUAAGGACCGGCUAACUACGUGCCAGCAGCCGCCGUAACAC